rnacentral:rRNA from 1 species
CCCUUAGAUGUCCUGGGCCGCACGCGCGCUACACUGAGUGUCUGAGAUACGAGUCUGCCUGGUCCGGCAAGGUCUAGGUAAUCGCUAAAAGACACAUCAUGCUUGGGAUAGAUUAUUGCAAAUAUUAAUCUUGAACGAGGAAUUCCUAGUAAGCGUAAGUCAACAGCUUGCGUUGAUUACGUCCCUGCCCUUUGUACACACCGCCCGUCGCUACUACUGAUUGGAUGUUUAAGCGAGGUUCUCGAACUGCUAGCGACUUAGCUUCGGUGAGGUCGCAGUGUGGGAAGUGAACCUAGCUUUGGUGUCUAGAGGAAGUAAAAGUCGUAACA